GGCCCUCACUGCACUUAUCCAGGAUAUCCAGGUGUUAUCAUGACCCGAAUUGCACUUAUCCAGGAUAUCUAGGUAAUAUCAUCACCCUUUCUGCACUUAUACAGGUGUUAUCAUGACCCUUACUGGACGAUUCCAGGAUAUCCAGGUGUUUUCAUGACCCUCACUGCACUUAUCCAGGAUAUCCGGGUGUAAUUAUGAUCCUUACUGCACUAAUUCAGGAUAUCCAGGUGUUUCCAUGACCCCAAUUAGACAAAUCCAAUAUACACUACAGGCCAAAAGUUUGGAAGCAAGGCCAUUACAGGCCGAACAGUUGGGAGUAACUUCAAGUUUUUGUUUACAAUGCUUUUUUUUUUUUAAAUCCAGUAUGAGUUUUAUGUAUUUUGGGAUGUAUUUACUCCAUGAUCAGAUGUUGCUUUCAUGGAAAUGCACCAUUUUACUCCAUUUACCUUUAGAUAUACAUUGAUGUUAACAGACCAUUGCUAAAUAUAUGUCAGCAAAUGAUAAUAAGGGCUUAGUUUUAGGGUUGAAAACAUUUGCAAGAGUCACAACUGCAAUGCAAAUGAAAAAAAAAAACAAAUAACAGUUAGAUUAUUCACUUCAACUUUUUGGCUUUUGAGAGUCUGCAUACAAAAAUCCUAAUAAAUCUCAACUGUGUUCAAACUACCACAAAAUUGGCUAGAAGAAGCAACUGAGUAAAGAAACAAAAGUAAAUAUUUGUACAUUGAGAAAAGAAGGAUACACAGAAAGAAAAAGUACAAAACGCCUAAAGGUGUUUCACAAAGGAGUCCACUACACUCUGAAGAGACUAGAGGAACCUGGAAUUUAUGAUGAUAGAAAAAGACCUGGACGAAAGAGAGUUACUACAAAAGCAGAGGAUAAACAUAGCAUUGUCACCAGUAAGAGAGAUCGGCGAAAGACAGCACCAAAAAUAAGGGAGGGAAUCAACAUGACAAGGUCAAAACCCUUAUCUCUGACAACUGUGAAAUGAUGUUUGAGAAAGGCUGGUCUGGAGGGUUGUGUAUCUGCAAAAAAUCACUACUUCGUCCACAGAACAAAAAAAACACAUGAGUGGGCAAAAGCUCACAAAAAUUGGACUUAUGAAUGAUGACUAGAAACAAGUUUGCACUGUUUGGUUCAAAACGCAGUCUAUGUCCGCAGACAAACUGGUGAACUUCUGAAAGCACCAUGUGUUACACCCACAAUUCAGCAUGGAGGUGGUAGUUCCAUGGUAUGGGGAUGUUUUGCAGGUGAUGGAGUAGGAGAUUUGUUUGAAGUAAAGGGUAUCAUGAUGAAGGAACAGUACCACUCCAUCCUCCAGCACCAUGCUGUUCCAUCUGGACUCAGACUUGAAGCUCAUAAGUUUGUUUUUCAGCAAGACAGUGACCCUAAGCACUCUGCCAAGCUCUGUCAGGGUUACCUAGACAAAAAAGAAGAGGAAGGAGUUCUUCAAAAGAUGGUUUGGCCCCCUCAGUCUCCAGACUUUUCUCAAUUGAGCUUGUGCAGGAUGAAUUGGAUCGAUCGGUCAGUAAAAUGCGUCCCACGAAUCAGCAGUCUCUUUUAGAACUUUUCUCUCAGAACUUAAUAAAGCUUGAAAUGCAAUCCCUGGAACAUACCUUAAAAAACUUGUGGAACGAAUGCCUGGUAUGUGCCAAGCUGUUGUUAAAGCCAGAGGAGUCUUUAAAGACAGCAAAGUCUAAGCAACAAUAACUCAAAUACCAAAUUAUUAUAGUCAAAAUGUCUUCUGAUAAGUUAUUCUUAACACAAUAGUAAUGUUUAUUGUGUUGCAAAAUAUGAAACUAUGAUCUUUUUUGGUACAAAUCCAAUCUUGCUUCCAAACUAUUGGCCUGUAUUGUAUGCACACAUACACUCACCGGCCACUUUAUUAGGUACACCUGUCCAACUGCUCGUUAACACUUAAUUUCUAAUCAGCCAAUCACAUGGCGGCAACUUAGUGCAUUUAGGCAUGUAGACAUGGUCAAGACAAUCUCCUGCAGUUCAAACCGAGCAUCAGUAUGGGGAAGAAAGGUGAUUUGAGUGACUUUGAACGUGGCAUGGUUGUUGGUGCCAGAAGGGCUGGUCUGAGUAUUUCAGAAACUGCUGAUCUACUGGGAUUUUCACGCACAACCAUCUCUAGGGUUUACAGAGAAUGGUCCGAAAAAGAAAAAAUAUCCAGUGAGCGGCAGUUCUGUGGGCGGAAAUGCCUUGUUGAUGCCAGAGGUCAGAGGAGAAUGGCCAGACUGGUUCGAGCUGAUAGAAAGGCAACAGUGACUCAAAUAACCACCCGUUACAACCAAGGUAGGCAGAAGAGCAUCUCUGAACGCACAGUACGUCGAACUUUGAGGCAGAUGGGCUACAGCAGCAGAAGACCACGCCGGGUGCCACUCCUUUCAGCUAAGAACAGGAAACUGAGGCUACAAUUUGCACAAGCUCAUCGAAAUUGGACAAUAGAAGAUUGGAAAAACGUUGCCUGGUCUGAUGAGUCUCGAUUUCUGCUGCGACAUUCGGAUGGUAGGGUCAGAAUUUGGCGUCAGCAACAUGAAAGCAUGGAUCCAUCCUGCCUUGUAUCAACGGUUCAGGCUGGUGGUGGUGGUGUCAUGGUGUGGGGAAUAUUUUCUUGGCACUCUUUGGGCCCCUUGGUACCAAUUGAGCAUCGUUGCAACGCCACAGCCUACCUGAGUAUUGUUGCUGACCAUGUCCAUCCCUUUAUGACCACAAUGUACCCAACUUCUGAUGGCUACUUUCAGCAGGAUAAUGCGCCAUGUCAUAAAGCUGGAAUCAUCUCAGACUGGUUUCUUGAACAUGACAAUGAGUUCACUGUACUCAAAUGGCCUCCACAGUCACCAGAUCUCAAUCCAAUAGAGCAUCUUUGGGAUGUGGUGGAACGGGAGAUUCGCAUCAUGGAUGUGCAGCUGACAAAUCUGCGGCAACUGUGUGAUGCCAUCAUGUCAAUAUGGACCAAGCUCUCUGAGGAAUGCUUCCAGCACCUUGUUGAAUCUAUGCCACGAAGAAUUGAGGCAGUUCUGAAGGCAAAAGGGGGUCCAACCCGUUACUAGCAUGGUGUACCUAAUAAAGUGGCCGGUGAGUGUAUAUAUCCAGGUGUUAUCAUGACCCUCACUACACUUUUCCAGGAUAUCCAGGUCAUAUCAUGACCCUUUCUGCAAUUCUCCACGAUAUCUAGGUGUAAUAAUGACCAUAACAGGAUAAAUUAAGAAUACCCAGUUGUUAACAUGUCACUUACUGCACUCAUCCAGGAUAUCCAGGUGAAAAAAUGAGCCGGACAGGAUAAAUUCAGGAUAUCCAGGUGUAAUCAUGACCCUAACUGCACUAAUGCAGGAUAUUAAUGUAUGACCAUGACAAGAACUGCACUUAUCCAGGAUAUUCUGUUGUUAUCAUGACCCUAACUGCACUUAACCAGGAUAAUCAUUUAUUAGUGUGACCCUAACAGGAUAAAUUCAAGAUAUGCGGGUGUUGUCAUGAUCUUUUCUGCACUAAUCCAGUAUAUUUAGGUGUUAUCAUGACCCUAACUGCACUUAUCCAGGAAAUCCAGAUGUUAUCAUGAGCUUCACUGCGCUAAUUUAGGAAAUCUGUGUGUUACCAUGACCCAAACUCAACAAAUCCAAUAUAUGUAGGUGUUUUUAUGUCGCUUAAUGCACUUAUCCAGGAAAUCCAGGUGGAUCAUGAUCCUAACUGCACUAAUCCAGCAUAUCUAGGUGUUUUAACAUCCCUUACUUCACUAAUUCAGGAUAACUGGGUGUUACCAUGACCCCCACUCAAGUUAUCCAAGAUAUGUAGGUGUUAUCAUGUCGCUAAUUGUACUAAUCCAGGCAAUCCAGGUGUUAUCGUGAUCCUAACUGCACUAAUCCAUGAUAUUAAGGUAUUAUCAUAAACCUUACUGCAUUUAUCUAGGAUAUCCAGGUGUUAUAAUGGCCCUUAGUGCACUAUUCCAGGAUAUCCAGGUGUUAUCAUGACCCUUACUGCACUUUUGCAGGACAUCCAUGUGUUAAAAUGACCCUAAUUGCACAAAUCCAGGAUAUCCUGGUGUUUUCAUGAACCUGACUGCAUUAAUCCAGAAGAUCAAGGUGUAAUCAGUCCUCAACUGCACUAAUCCAGGGAAUCUAGAUGUAAUAAUGCUAUUAACUGCACUAAUCCAGGCUAUCUAGGUGUUAUCAUGACCCUCACUGCACUUCUCCAGGAUAUCCAGGUGUUAUCAUGACCCUUACUGCACUUCUCCGGGAUAUCUAGGUGUUAGGAUGAACCUAACUGCACUUAUCCAGGAUAUUUGGGUGUUAUCAUGACCCUAACUAGACUAAUCCAGGAUAUCCAGGUGUUAUCAUGACCCUCACUGCACGAUCCAGGAAUUCAGGUGUUAUCAUUACCCUCACUGCACUUAUCCAGAAUAACCAGGUGUAAUCAUGACCCUAACUACACUUAUCCAGGUGUAAUAAUGACCCUCACUGCACUUAUCCAUGAUAUCAAGGUAAUAUCAUGACCAUUUCUGCACUUAUCCAGGAUAACCAGAUGUGAUCAUGACCCUUAAACCACUUAUCCAGGAAAUCCAGGUGUAAUUAUGAUCCUUACUGCACUAAUUCAGGAAAUCUGGGUGUUAUCAGGACCCUAAUUAGACAAAUCCAAGAUAUGUAGGUGUAAUCGGGUAGCUAAA